rnacentral:misc_RNA from 1 species
UCGUAACAAAAUGUGCUAGGCAUGCUUCCGGCUGUCGCUGACUCGAAAGGUCGUGCACGCGGGAGCGUGUCCUCUCACAUAACACAAUCCAUCUCACCCUUUGUGCACCACCGCGUGGGCCCCCUUUGGGGGGCUCGCGUUUCCACACAAAACCCCCACUUUAAAAGUGUAGAAUGACCUCUAUUAUAAAAUCAAUA